rnacentral:rRNA from 1 species
CCUACGGGUGGCAGCAGUGGGGAAUAUUGCACAAUGGGCGCAAGCCUGAUGCAGCCAUGCCGCGUGUAUGAAGAAGGCCUUCGGGUUGUAAAGUACUUUCAGCGGGGAGGAAGGUGUUGAGGUUAAUAACCUCAGCAAUUGACGUUACCCGCAGAAGAAGCACCGGCUAACUCCGUGCCAGCAGCCGCGGUAAUACGGAGGGUGCAAGCGUUAAUCGGAAUUACUGGGCGUAAAGCGCACGCAGGCGGUCUGUCAAGUCGGAUGUGAAAUCCCCGGGCUC